rnacentral:rRNA from 1 species
AACUGACGCUGAGGCACGAAAGCGUGGGUAGCAAACAGGAUUAGAUACCCUGGUAGUCCACGCUGUAAACGAUGAUUACUAGGUGUGGGGGGUCUGACCCCUUCCGUGCCGCAGUUAACACAAUAAGUAAUCCACCUGGGGAGUACGGCCGCAAGGUUGAAACUCAAAGGAAUUGACGGGGGCCCGCACAAGCAGUGGAGUAUGUGGUUUAAUUCGAAGCAACGCGAAGAACCUUACCAGGUCUUGACAUCCUAAGAAUCCUUUAGAGAUAAGGGAGUGCCCUUCGGGGAAUUUAGAGACAGGUGGUGCAUGGUUGUCGUCAGCUCGUGUCGUGAGAUGUUGGGUUAAGUCCCGCAACGAGCGCAACCCUUACUGUUAGUUGCUACGCAAGAGCACUCUAGCAGGACUGCCGUUGACAAAACGGAGGAAGGUGGGGAUGACGUCAAAUCAUCAUGCCCCUUAUGACCUGGGCUACACACGUACUACAAUGGCCGUCAACAGAGGGCAGCAAAAUGGUGACAUGGAGCAAAUCCCUAAAAACGGUCUCAGUUCAGACUGCAGGCUGCAACCCGCCUGCACGAAGAUGGAAUGCUAGUAAUCG